rnacentral:lncRNA from 1 species
AAGGGUCUGUUUGAUAGGGGAAAAUAUUUUCCGGAAUUGGUUUUCCACAUUUUCCGGUGUUUGUUUGUUGGAAAAUGAAUUCCCAUAUGAAAACAUUUUACAAACACGGGUAAAAUCCGAAGCUUUUUUUUAGAAAUUGUCUUACCCAUUUCUCUACCGUAAGACAUUUUCCCUUUCUCCUUUCUCUUCUUCAACCUUCUUCAACCUUCUUCUGUUAUCUCUAUCUGCUAAGGUCGGCAUAUCGCAAAAGAUUCGGCCCUCUGCUAAGAGUGGUUCCAGUUGAUUUACCUCCCCAUUUUUGAGUUUUCUUCUAUCCACUCUUUUCUUUUUUCUCAAUUUUCCUAUGGUUGAAUGGAAGUCUGGAAGGGAAUGAGUGGGAAUUGAAAUUUUUUAAUUUAAUCAUUAAAUUACAAAUAAUUGACUUCUAAUGAAUUUUUAAUAUGAGGUUAAGUCCAUUUUGGUUUAAUACAUAAUAUUAAAAAAAAUUUUCUUGUUUUCUCUUUUGAACUUCAUUUUUAAAGUUCCAAA